rnacentral:rRNA from 1 species
GUGUCAGCAGCCGCGGUAAUACGGAGGAUGCGAGCGUUAUCCGGAUUUAUUGGGUUUAAAGGGUGCGCAGGCGGGCUCUCAAGUCAGCGGUAAAAUCGCGGGGCUCAACCCCGCCGAGCCGUUGAAACUGGGGGCCUUGAGUGGGCGAGAGGCAUGCGGAAUGCGUGGUGUAGCGGUGAAAUGCAUAGAUAUCACGCAGAACGCCGAUUGCGAAGGCAGCAUGCCGGCGCCCUACUGACGCUGAGGCACGAAAGCGCGGGUAUCGAACAGGAUUAGAUACCCUGGUAGUCCGCGCCGUAAACGAUGAAUGCUAGGUGUCCGGGGCGAAUGGGCCCUGGGUGCCACAGCGAAAGCGUUAAGCAUUCCACCUGGGGAGUACGCCGGCAACGGUGAA